ACGGUUUCCUCUUCGGAGGCACCUGCACAGGUGCUGCAUGGCUGUCGUCAGCUCGUGUCGUGAGAUGUUGGGUUAAGUCCCGCAACGAGCGCAACCCUUAUCCCCAGUUGCCAUCAGGUAAAGCUGGGAACGUCUGGGGAGACUGCCGGUGAUAAACCGGAGGAAGGCGGGGAUGACGUCAAGUCCUCAUGGCCCUUACAUCCCGGGCUACACACGUGCUACAAUGGCAGGUACAGAGGGCUGCGAAGCCGCGAGGUGGAGCGAAUCCCAGAAAACCUGUCUCAGUCCGGAUUGAAGUCUGCAACUCGACUUCAUGAAGGCGGAAUCGCUAGUAACCGCGAAUCAGCAGGUCGCGGUGAAUACGUUCCCGGGCCUU
rnacentral:rRNA from 1 species